rnacentral:lncRNA from 1 species
CAUUGGAACGCCUUUGUAAAACCAAAGAACUUGAUUACAUGAGCUACAUUGUCCUAAGACUGUUCGAGAACACCGAGGUUUUACAAUGCACCCGCCUUUCCUCUCCAACUCAUGCGUUCAAGUCUUUAUACUUACUCGUGCCUGAAACCAGACAUUGAAACCUAUAAAAUGUUUUCUGCAGGUAUCUCUGGAAGACCCGAAACGAUUCAGGAUCGAACUUACAUUUAGCCGUGGCGCAGAUUUGUCUCCCUUAGAGGUAAAGAGCAAAGAGUAACUACACUCUUUCUUCUUGGGUAUUUGGU